GAUGAACGCUGGCGGCGUGCCUAAUACAUGCAAGUCGAGCGAACAGACGAGGAGCUUGCUCCUCUGACGUUAGCGGCGGACGGGUGAGUAACACGUGGAUAACCUACCUAUAAGACUGGGAUAACUUCGGGAAACCGGAGCUAAUACCGGAUAAUAUAUUGAACCGCAUGGUUCAAUAGUGAAAGACGGUUUUGCUGUCACUUAUAGAUGGAUCCGCGCCGCAUUAGCUAGUUGGUAAGGUAACGGCUUACCAAGGCAACGAUGCGUAGCCGACCUGAGAGGGUGAUCGGCCACACUGGAACUGAGACACGGUCCAGACGCCUACGGGAGGCAGCAGUAGGGAAUCUUACGCAAUGGGCGAAAGCCUGACGGAGCAGCGCCGCGUGAGUGAUGAAGGUCUUCGGAUCGUAAAACUCUGUUAUUAGGGAAGAACAAAUGUGUAAGUAACUAUGCACGUCUUGACGGUACCUAAUCAGAAAGCCACGGCUAACUACGUG
rnacentral:rRNA from 1 species